AAUUCAAUUCCUCCAUUGCACGAACUCUGCCAUUCUGGAAUGCUCUUCCUCUCCUGGCUCAUUUCUUCUUGUCAUCACACUUCAGCUUAAAUGUCAGUUCUGAACGGCCUUUCUUGAUGACCGGAACUAACACAGAUAUUUGCUCAGUUUUAAUUCUCAACAAUGCAUUUACCACUAUCUGACAUUGUUUUGUAUUAUUUUAUGUAUUUCACUGGUAAUUGUGUCUCCUCUCCCUCCUACCCCCAAUAGAGUAUGACAACUGGGACUUGUCUUAUCAUUUAUCCACAGUACGUGGGAAAAUGGCUGGCACAUGGGACGUCAAUAAAUAUGUGCUCAAUGGUGAACCACCUAGGUAGGCAGAUAUGUACACUAGGAUCCUGCUCGUGGAGAGCUUAGGUUCUAAAGGGAAAGGUCAAUAAAUAGGAGAAAAACAAACACCUAGAUUCUGUUAACUGUUGCAUAGAAGAGAUUGAAGUUACACAGAAGACACUGAGGAGUCUACAAUCAGAAGUUUCUCAGGUAUGAGCUGACAUUUUUGCUGAGGCUGGAAUGAAGGCUGGGAAAAAAUUAAGCAAGUAGAGCUCAGCUCCCUGAGAAUUUCCAACAGAGAGAACAGCAAGCAAAUAAUCUUAGAGGCUAUUAUACAACAAAUUCACUGAGUUCCAGGAAAGUCAGUGUGACUAGAGCAUAGUAAAACUGGAAAAUGAUGAGAAAAGUGGCUGGAAAGGUAGUCAGGGUCCAGAUUAUACAAGCCUUGUUAGAGAAUGAUAAGCUGUUUCUAUUUUACCCUAAGUGAAACAGUAUGCUAUUUAAGUUGCUAAAUGACAUCAUCUGAUUUACUCAGUGUAGUCUCACCAAACUGUGUCCCCGACCACCAGCAUCAGAAUCACUUCUGAGCUUGUUAAAAUGCAAUCUGAAGCACCACUCCAGAACUGAAUUAAGAUCCCUAGGUGAUUCAUAUGCACAUUAAAGUGUGAGAAACACUGGUACAGAGAACGGAGUAGAGGUGAGAAAGAGUAGAAGAGGGGAAGUCAAUUAGAGAGCUACAUUACGGUCCAAGUGAAGGAAGACAGUAGCCUGCAUAAGAGUGAUAGCAGGAAGGACGAGAAGACGGAUUUUAGGUUAUCUUUUGCAGACAGUUUGUUUAGGUCUCCUAGCCAGCUAAAUGGAGAUCUCAGUAGACAGGCAGUGAUACAAACCUGUGUUUCUGAAAAAAGUUUAGGCUUGGAGAUAUAGAUCUGUGGGUCUGUUAUUAAUAGUUGUCCUGCUUCGGGUUUUUUUUAAAUUUCCUUCCUUUUUUAGUGCUUUAUAUUCUACAAAUGUCUGCAUGUUUUUUGUCAUCUUUAUGGAAAAGAAGGCACGUCUUAAAGUCGUUCAAGUCCUUCACUUUUUCACAUUGAGGUCUGUCUUCAUAUCCACUUAUCUUUCAAGUCUAUUAAACCCCUUAUAAAAACUUUACUUUGAAAUAUUUUAAAAUUCAAGGCCCAAGGCUGAUUAAUACUGUUUCUCCUCCAUAACCCCUAGGAUUCUCCAGUUCUAGGUUUUAAUGAGAAAAAUAUCCUCAAUCCUCUCCAGUUUCUAGGUGUAAAGCAGCUUGGAUCCUCCUGGGUUUGGUGGGUCCAUCUCUCUUGGAGUCCAACUCUGUAUUCUUAAAAAGCAAUUAUUGAAAUAGAAGCUAGUCAGUGGCAAUAAUAGAAGGGAAUUCCAAGUGGGAGCUUCCCAAGCCAAGAGGAAGAGAGGUUUCUUGCCUUAUCACUGUAAGUGGCAGAGUGGCGUUCCAAUUCAAUGAUAUCAUUUGUGUUAUCAAAGAUAAGUUUAAUCGUUGAAAAGCUUGUAACAAUUAUAAACACAGGCAAAUGCCUUUUCCUUUUUGGCCUUACGGAGAAUGAGAAAAGUUCUUCCCAUGGGUUAUAAUUCUUAGCUGUUGGUAAUGCAGAAAAGAGUACAAGAACAGCAGAAUUCCAACAGUAUUCCAGGAUUCUGUGCCUUGGUUAAUUUUAAAUUCACGUGACCUGGCAAACUUAGGAGAGUCCUGGUUGUAAGUGGUAUUAACAUUUUCAGCAGUAGUACUCUAGCUACACUUGACUGUUCCCCUCUGUGAAUUUACAUGGUAUGUUUGAAAUACUGCCCCUCAAAAGUCUCAGAACUUUGAGAAAUACGGUCCCUUCCAAAAAAACCCCUUAUGUCCAAUUUGAAGGGGGCGCUGUCAGUGGGUGGUUAAGUGCGUACUUAAAGAAAAGCGGAAUCCAUUCCGGAGCCAAGACUAGGUCAGGGUGAGGAAGGCCAAGGCUGAGCGAGGUCAGCUUGGGACCCACCUCCUAGAAUGACCUCCGCCGGCAGGGAAAAAACCGUUAAGGGAAGGAAAGGGCAGGUCCCUGCGGCCUCCAGGUGCCAGCCGCGUGAGUGGGCGGGGAGGCCUCGGUGCCUCCUACCCGCUCGGGACGUGCGUCCCGGCAUCACCCCAGGAUCCGCUCCUCCCCGCUGGCGCGGGGAGAAAGGGCAGGAGGCCUUCUGCCUCGGCUAUAAAGGGCCCCGGACCGCCGCAGCUCGCCUCGGCUCGCCUCGACACGCCUAGGCGCCCUCCGGCUCCGCCCUAGCCGCCGCGACCCAGCUCGAGCUCCAGCGCCCGCUCAGGCCCCACUCGACCCUCUCGGGCCUCGGCUACUUGGACUGCGGCGGAAGAUGGCGGCUCCGGUGACUCCCGCGGCUCGGCCCGAGGAAUCCGAGGCGGCGCUCAAUGCCGCCCUGGCUGACGUGCCCGAACUGGCCAGACUCCUGGAGAUCGACCCGUACUUGAAGCCCUACGCCGUGGACUUCCAGCGCAGGUAUAAGCAGUUUAGCCAAAUUUUGAAGAACAUUGGAGAAAAUGAAGGUGGUAUUGAUAAGUUUUCCAGAGGCUAUGAAUCAUUUGGCGUCCACAGAUGUGCUGAUGGUGGUUUAUACUGCAAAGAAUGGGUCCCGGGAGCAGAAGGAGUUUUUCUUACUGGAGAUUUUAAUGGUUGGAAUCCAUUUUCGUACCCGUAUAAAAAACUGGACUAUGGAAAAUGGGAGCUGUAUAUCCCACCAAAGCAGAAUAAAUCUGUACUCGUGCCUCAUGGAUCCAAAUUAAAGGUAGUUAUUACUAGUAAAAGCGGAGAGAUCUUGUAUCGUAUUUCACCAUGGGCGAAGUAUGUGGUUCGUGAAGGUGAUAAUGUGAAUUAUGAUUGGAUACACUGGGAUCCAGAACACUCAUAUGAAUUUCAGCAUUCCAGACCAAAGAAGCCACGGAGUCUAAGAAUUUAUGAAUCUCAUGUGGGAAUUUCUUCCCAUGAAGGAAAAGUAGCUUCUUAUAAACAUUUUACAUGCAAUGUACUACCAAGAAUCAAAGGCCUUGGAUACAACUGCAUUCAGUUGAUGGCAAUCAUGGAGCAUGCUUACUAUGCCAGCUUUGGUUACCAAAUCACAAGCUUCUUUGCAGCUUCCAGCCGUUAUGGAACACCUGAAGAGCUACAAGAACUGGUAGACACAGCUCAUUCCAUGGGUAUCAUAGUCCUCUUAGAUGUAGUACACAGCCAUGCUUCAAAAAAUUCAGCAGAUGGAUUGAAUAUGUUUGAUGGGACAGAUUCCUGUUAUUUUCAUUCCGGACCUAGAGGGACUCAUGAUCUUUGGGAUAGCAGAUUGUUUGCCUACUCCAGCUGGGAAGUUUUACGAUUCCUUCUGUCAAACAUAAGAUGGUGGUUGGAAGAAUAUCGCUUUGAUGGAUUUCGUUUUGAUGGUGUUACAUCCAUGCUUUAUCAUCACCAUGGAGUAGGUCAAGGUUUCUCAGGUGAUUACAGUGAAUAUUUCGGACUACAAGUAGAUGAAGAUGCCUUGACUUACCUCAUGUUGGCAAAUCAUUUGGUUCACACGCUGUGUCCAGAUUCUAUAACAAUAGCUGAGGAUGUAUCAGGAAUGCCAGCUCUGUGCUCUCCAAUUUCCCAGGGAGGGGGCGGUUUCGACUAUCGACUAGCCAUGGCAAUUCCAGAUAAGUGGAUUCAGCUACUUAAAGAGUUUAAAGAUGAAGACUGGAACAUGGGCGAUAUAGUAUACACACUCACAAACAGGCGCUACCUUGAGAAGUGCAUUGCUUAUGCAGAGAGCCAUGAUCAGGCAUUGGUUGGGGAUAAGUCGCUGGCAUUUUGGUUGAUGGAUGCCGAAAUGUAUACAAACAUGAGUGUCCUGACUCCUUUUACUCCAGUUAUUGAUCGUGGAAUACAGCUUCAUAAAAUGAUUCGACUCAUUACGCAUGGGCUUGGUGGAGAAGGCUAUCUCAAUUUCAUGGGUAAUGAAUUCGGGCAUCCUGAAUGGUUAGACUUCCCAAGAAGAGGAAAUAAUGAGAGUUACCAUUAUGCCAGACGGCAGUUUCAUUUAACUGAUGAUGACCUUCUUCGCUACAAGUUCCUAAAUAAUUUUGACAGGGAUAUGAAUAGAUUGGAAGAAAGAUGUGGUUGGCUUGCAGCUCCACAGGCGUAUGUGAGUGAAAAACAUGAAGGCAAUAAGAUCAUUGCUUUUGAAAGAGCAGGUCUUCUUUUCAUUUUCAACUUCCAUCCAAGCAAGAGCUACACUGACUACCGAGUUGGAACAGCAUUGCCAGGGAAAUAUCCUUUUUGUUACCAGAGAAUAUGACUGUCCACAUUCACUUCUUUAUUACAUUAUAGGACCAAAAAAAAAAAAAAAAAAGACUAAGGUUGAUCUUAAUGACAGAAACAUUCAUUUUCCUCAUCUGAAAAAUGAGGAACUUAAAAUAGUUGAUGGAUAAAUCUUUGCUCGGCUCAGUUAUACUGAAUUAUUCCUAAGUUUCAUUUUGGCUUUAAACAGAGAGGUUAGUGCAGACGUGGUUCACAUCAAAGGAAAGAGCUGUGGAUCUUGCUGUCCUGAAGGUUUCAAUAUGGAGCCCUGCUCUCCAGGUCCCCACAUCCACCAACACAGAAGACAAUAAAUGAAGUCUUCUGAGAUAAUAGCAGAGGCUCUGGACUUAGGGGACCAGGCUUUAAAAAGUGUAACUAAAUAUUUCUUAAAUAAUAUUUCUUAAAUAAUAUUUAGAGCUAGUAAGCAAUAUUGGAGAUGAUUGUAGUUUUACUCUAUGAAAAUAUUUUGUAAGUUACCUCUGAGACUUGUUUAUUUUCCUCCACUCAGUGGGAGAGAGCAAACAGUAGUUGUAAUGAUAGCGUCCUUCCUUUUUCUGUUUCUUCUCCUAAAAUUCAAGACACAGCAUACCUUUGUAGUCCUGAAUUGGUAAGAAGGCAAGGCAGGGGAGGUGUGAGCAAUACAAAUAACCAGGGAGAAUGUUUUUGAUGUUCUCUGUGUGUUCAUUUACUCCUUCUUUCAUGCAUUUUACAGAUACUUACUGGGUUCCUAUUUACUGAACACCUCUGUGACAGCUCUGAGCUGAUUACUGUAAAUAUGGGAAUUCUCCUAGCAGAUACAGUCACUGCCCUCAUAGAGCUUUUAAACUAGUAAAGAAGAUAAAUAUUAGGCAUUGUAAGUUUGAUAAUUAUUACAAAUAUUAGGCAUUGUAAGUUUGAUAAUUAUUACAAAGGAAAUGUACAGUAUAUUUUAAAGACAUGUUACUAGAUCCAUGAAAAAAAUGGCAGAUUCAGGACCUAGCAACAAAUCAGCACAAUUUUUCAAGCAGGCAAUAGAAAUAAUGUGCUUGUCCCCUGAAGCCGUAAUAAUGAUUAGCAUCUGCCACCUGAGCAAGGUGCCUGAUGCCAACAUGAAGUCCUAUGUGUCAGGGUGGCUCCAGCUACAAUAAAGAAACCCUCCUACUCAGCUGGCUCAAAUAAUAAGGAAAAUAUAUUUGUCACAUAAUAAAAACCCUAAAGUCUAGUUUCCCCAGCACUUGUGACAGUAUCAAGUUCCCCAGUUUAUUCUUUUUGCUUUCAAUUUUCAGGGUGCCAGCAAUGUCCAAAGGGUGGCACCUGUUAAUCAUUAGAUAAGAGCCAUGACUCCAAGUGUCACCCACCUUCAGAUACAACAAAAUGCAAACAGAUUUUUUUGUGUAUCUCUUCAAGAAUGAAGUUACUUCUUUAGCAAAAUUUCUUUCAUAUUUUAUUGACCAGAGUUGGGUCUCACAUCUCCCAGAAAAAUUUUCUAGGAAGAGGAAUGAUAUUAAUAUGAGUGACUUAAUCAGGAAUUACCCCUGAGUCUCAGGAAGACAUCACUUGAUGAAGUGGACACCCAGACAGAAUUUUACUCUGACAGUAAGAAGAAAACAGCCAGUGCUUUUUAGUAAGUAGCCUGCAGCAUCUGUCACCACCCUGUGCUGCUCAGUGACAUUGAGGGCAAAGAGAGAUGGUUCCCUACUUUCUUCCCACCCAACCAAUCACUGUUCCACAUAACAUCAGAGCACCUAGGAGAGGAGGCUGUAGUUGUGACUGAUAGCACAAAUGUGCCCCAGUUAACCCACAGAAUGCUCUGUGUUGUCUGUCUCUUUAUGCCGACAAAUAAAUCAAUGUGAUGGGUUAUCUACACUAAAGAAGUACAGUACUAUUCUGGGAAACAAAUAUCCUCUUCAUUUCCAUAAAAAAAUCCAAAGAAAUACUAGACAUGUAGCAAUUUGUACGUGAUCCUUCUCACCGCCCGGGUGCUAAAGUAAUGCUCCUAGACUAAACCCUUCUAUACUUGGUAGUGUAAUAUAAUCAAACCAAAAUACAUUUACAGAAUACUGGUAUCUACUUCAAUCUUUGUUAUAUCUUUGCAGUGCUGUCCUUGACCCUUAAGUGGAGGUAAAGAGAUGUAUAAAACCCAAACUGUGAUGUAAGUCUUAAUGCAAUAAGUGGAAAAGGAACAAGGAGCAAGAAUGUUCCAUGGGAGAAGAGAGGACAAGAAAAAUGAAAAAAUAAGUGGCAGGGGAGGAGGGGAGAGAUACUGAGAUUAAGACAAAGACUUUUAAGCCUAGACUUGGGAAAUGGACAAGAUUAUAGCAGGAAAAAAUGAAGAAAGCCAUUUCAGCUAUUAGAAAUCAUAGACUAUUCUUAGAUAAUGGACAGUACAAUAGAUUAAUUGGAGAAUGAUGACUAUAGAAAGAAGUAUUAAGAGAUAAAGCUGAAAACAUAGAUGGAGAUCACAUAAUAGAAGAUUUUAAUGCCAUAUUAAUUAGUCUUUUUUCUAUGAUUUUAUAGUGAGUUGCUGCAGGUUUUUGACUAGGGAGCUACUUGAUAAGAAUGUAGGCUUUAGUAAAAGUUCUCAUGUACCAGUGUGUAAGGGAGCUUUCAUGAGGAAAGAGAUUGGAAGUACAGAUAUUAAUUAUGAGAAAUUGCAGUACACCUAAAAGAUAAUUAGGGCAUGAACUAAAGUAAUGUCAAUAGAAUAGAAAAAGUAUACGAAGCCCUUUCUUGUAGUGAAGGAACUCAGAAUCUAUUUGAACAUGGAGUAUAGAAGGGAAAAUGUAAGGUUUCACUUUGAACAAUAGAAAGUAUGCUGGUGGUAUUAUUCCUGAGGAUACCAAAGCCAGGAGAGGAAGCCAGUUGCGGGAGUAGAAAAUAUAAAUUUGAGCAGGAUGGUUGAAUAGAACUCUCCAGCCAUUGUCCUCCCUACAGGAACACCAAAUUGAACAACUAUCCACACAAGAAAGUACCUUCAUAAGAACCAAAAAUCAGGUCAGCGAUCAUAGUACCUCAUUUUAACAUUAUUUCAAGCAAAGAGGCACAGAAGAGGGUAAGAAAGACAGUCUUGAAUUCCCUAUACCAACCCUCCCCCACCCCUUGGCUGCACCACGUGGGACAUGGAAAACGAGAAUCUGUUUGCUUAGGGGAGGGAAAACACAGUGAUUGUGGGACUUUGCAUUGGAACUCAUUGCUGCCCUGUCACAGCAGAAGGUAACAUGGGCAGAAUUCAGCCAGCACCCUCAAAGAGAGCCAUUAGACCAGCCCUAGGCAGAGGGGUAUUGUCUGCUGUCCCAGCAUUCGGAACCUGAGUUCCAGCUAGACCCAACACUGCACACUAAAGUACCUUGGAGUUCCAGAUAAAUUUGAAAGUCUAGGCCGCAAGGACUGCAGUUCCUGAGCAAGUCCUGGUGUCGUACUGGGAUUAGAGCCAGUGGACAUGGGAUACACAAGAAAGGAGAGGGAAGAGUAAAGAGGACUUUUUCUUAUAACUCGGAUACCAGCUCAGCCACAGUAAAAAUAAAACACCAAGCAGAGACCCGAAGCCCCUAUUUCAGGCCCCAGCUCUCAGAAGACAUUGCUAGACCCACCCUAUGCCUUAAGGGAACUUGCUUCCCUGAAGGGAAGAACUCAGUCCUGGCAGGAUUCUUUAAUUAAUGACUGAGGAACACUUGGACCUUGAGUAAACGUCGACAGUAGCCAAGUAGCAAUUACCACAGGCCUUUGAUGAGACCCAGAACCAUGUUGGCUUCAGAUGUAACCCAGCACAUUCCCGGAUAUAUUGGCAGUGGGAAGAGACGCCUGCCUGAGGAAAGGAGAGGGAAGAGUGGAAAGGGCUUUGUCUUGCAACCUGGGGAUCAGCCAGCCACAGUAAAAGAAAGCACCAAGCAGAUUCCUAAAGCCACCAGUUUUAGGCCUUAGCUCCUAGCUGGCGUUUCUCAACCUUCCCUGAGCCAGAAGAGAACCCACUCCCCUGAAAGGAGAGACCUAGGUCUGGCACAAUUCACCAACUGCUGACCAAGGAGCCCUUGGGCUUUGAAUAAACAUCAGCAGUAACCAGGCAGUGGGUGCCAUGGCCUUGGGGUGGUGGUGGCCAUGGAGAGAGAGGCUCCUUCUGCUUGAGGAAAGGAAAGAGAAGAGUGAAAGGGACAUUGCUUGCAAUGUGGGUGCCACCUCAGCCACAGUAAAUUGUGGCAUGAAGUAGGUUUCUAAAGUUCCUAGUGCCAGGCCAUAGCACCAGCAUGGCAUUCCUAGACCUACUCUGGGCCAGAAGGGAACAUACUGCCCUAAACGGAAGGACCCAGGCCUGGCAGGAUGCAUCACUUGCUGACUAAAGAACCCUUGGCCUUUGAAUAAACAUCACUGGUACCCAGGCAGUAGUCACCAGAGACUUUGGGUGAGGACUAGUACUGUGCUGGCUUCAAGUGUGACCCAGCACAGUUCCAGUGGUGUUGGCAGUGAACUUGCUUGCAUCACCCCUUCCUCCAAUUCCAGGCAGCUCAGGAUAGAGUGAGAGACGAACUUUGUUUGGGGGAAAGUAAAGGAAGAGAACAAGAGAUUCUGCCUGAUAAUCCAGUGAAUUAUCUCAGAUCUUAAUGAAGACCAUCAAGGUAGUACCUCUAUGAGUCAACAAGAGUGGAGCACCUUAAUACAGAUACCACUGCAAUGACCAAAGACUUAGAUCACAAUACCUAAGUCUUCAAAUACUUAGAAAACCUUCCCAAGGACCAAUAUAAACAAGGCUGACCCGUGAAGGCUACAAUAAAUACCUAAUUAUUCAAUGCCCAGACACUGGCAAACAUCCACAAGCAUCACGACCUUCCAGGAAAUCAUGACUUCACCAAACAAACUAAAUAAAUCACCAGUAACCAAUCCUGGAGAGACAAAGAUAUGUGACUUUUCUGACCAAAAAAAAAAAAAAUGAAAUAGCAGUUUUGAGGAAGCUCGUGAAAUGCAGUUUAACAGAGAAGGAAUUCAGAAUUCUGUCAGAUAAAUUUAACAGAGAGAUUGAAAUACUUUUGAAAAAAAUCAAGCAGAAAUUCUGGGGCUGAAAAAUUCAGUUCACAAAUUGAAGAAUGCAUCAGAGUUUCUGAACAGCAGAAUUGAUCAAGCAGAAGAAUUAGUGAGCUUGAAGACGAGGUAUUUGAAAAUGCAUAGAAAAGACAAAAAACAAAAAAGAAUGAAGCAUGCCUACAGGAUCUAGAAAAUAGCCUCAAAAAAGCAAAUCUAAAAGUGAUUGGCCUUAAAGAGGAUGGAGAGAGAGACAGAGAGAGAGAGUGGUUGGCCUUAAAGAGGAUGGAGAGAGAGAGAGAGAGAGAGAGAUUGAUUCAUUCAGGUAGAAAGUUUAUUCAAAGAGAUAGUAACGCAGAACUUUCCAAGCCCAGAGAAAGGUAUCAAUACUCAAGGACAAGAAGGUUAUAGAACACAAUGCAGAUUUUACCCAAAUAAUACUACCUCAAGACAUUUAAAAAUCAAUUUCCCAAAGGCCAAAGAUAAAGAAAGGAUCCUAAAAGCAGCAAGAGAAAAUAAACAAAUAACAUACAAAAGAGCUCCAAUACAUCUAACAGCAAACUUAUCAGUGGAAACCUUACAGGCCAGGAGAGAGUGACAUGGCAUACUUAAAGUGCUGAAGGAAAAAAAACUUUUAUCCUAGAAUGUUAUAUCCAGCAAAAAUAUCCUCCAAAUAUGAAGGAGAAGUUAAGACUUUCCCAGACAAACAAAAGCUGAGGGAUUUUGUUAACACUAAACCUGACCUACAAGAAAUGCUAAAGGGAGUACUUCAGUCUUAAAGAAAAUGAUGUUAAUAAGCAAUAAGAAAUCACCUUAAGGCACAAAACUCGUAAUAAUAAGUACACAGACAAAUAUGGAAUAUGAUAAGGCUUCAGUUGUGUUGCAUGGACUAACUACAACAGCUUUUUAAGACAUAGACAUAAUUAUAAUAAGAUAUAAAUACAAACAAAAAGUUAAAAUGCUGACAAGAUGAAGUUCAAGGGUAGAGUUUUUAUCAGUUUUUCUCUUUGCUUGUUUGUUUUUGCAAUCAGAGUUAAGUUGUCAUCAGUUUAAAAUAGUGGAUUAUAUGAUGUUACUUGCAAGCCUCAUGAGAACCACAAAUCAAAAAGCCUACCACAGAUAGACAAAAAAUAAAAAGCAAGAAAUUAAAACAUAUCACCAAUCAAUUUCACAACAAGGAAGACAAGAAGGAAGACAACAAGACAACCAGAAGACAAAUAACAAAAUGGCAGCAAUAAGUCUUUAUCAGUAAUAACAUUAAAUGUAAAUGGACUGAAUUCUGCAAUCAAAAACAUAGAGUAGCUUAAUGGAUAAAAAUACAAGACCUAAAUAUCUGCUACCUACAAUAAACAUACCUCACCUAUAAAAGCACUCAUAGACUAGCAAAUAAAGGGAUGGAAAAAGAUAUUCUAUGCAAACAGAAAGCAUAAAACAGCAAGAGUAGCAGCAUGAAUACCAGAUAAUAUAGAUUUUGAGACAAAACCUAUAAAAAGAGACAAAUAAGGUCAUUAUAUAAUGACAAAGGGUCAAUUCAACAAGAGAAUAUAACAAUUAUAUAUGCACCCCACACUGAAGCAUCCAUAUAUAUAAAGCAAAUAUUAUUAGAGCUAAAGAGGGAGAUAGACCUCAAUACAAUAACAGCUGGAGACUUCAAUACCCCACUUUCACCUUUGGACAAAUCUUUCAGACAGGAAAUCAACAAAGAAACGUGAGAUGUAAUCAGCACUAUAAACCAAAUGCACCUGAUACAUAUUUACAGAACAUUUCAUCCAACGGCUGCAGAAGGCAUGUUCUCCUCAGCUCAUGGAACAUUCUUAAGAAUAGACCAUAUGUUAGGCCACAAAGCAAGUCCUAAAAUAUUCAAAAAAAUUGAAAUAAUAUCAGGCAUCUUCUCUGACCAAAAUGGAAUAAAACCGGAAGUUAAUAAGAAGAAUUUUAGAAACUGUACAAACACAUUCAGAUAAGACAAUAUGCUCCCGAAUGGCCAUAUACCAAUGACCAUACCAAUUCAAGGCUAGGUCAAGAAAGAAAUUAAGAAUCCCUAUCAAAAUACCAAUGAUAUUUGUCAAAUAAAUGGAAAAACAAUCCUAAAAUUUACUUGAAAUCAUAAAAGACCCAGAAUAGCAAAAGACAUGUUGCACAAAAAGAACAGAACUGGAGCAAUCACAUUACCUGACUUCAAAUUAUACUACAGAGCUAUAGUGACCAAAACAGCAUGGUAAUGCCAUAAAAACAGACACAAAUACCAGUAGAACAGAAUAUAAAACCCGGAAAUCAAUCCAUGUAUCUAUAGUGAACUCAUUUUCAACAAAGGUGCCAAGAACAUACAAUGGGGAAAGGACAGCUUCCUCAACAGAUGGUGCUGGGAAAACUGGAUAUCCAUAUGUGGAAAAAUGAAGCUAGAUCCCUGUCUCUCAUUAUAUACAAAAAACAAAUCAAAAUGGAUUAAAGACUGAAAUCUUAGACAUAGUUUAUGCCUAAACUAAGGAUAGGCAAUCAAAGCAAAAAUGUACAAAUGAAAUGAGAGCAAGUUAAAAAGCUUCUGCACAACAAAGGAAACAAAGGGAAGAGACAAUCCACAUUAUGGGAAAAAUAUUUGCAAACUAUCCAUCUGGCAAAGGAUUAAUAACCAGAAUACAUAAGGAGCUCAAACAAUAGGAAAAAAUUUAAUAAUCUUAUUUAAAAAUGGGCAGAAGAUCUGAAUAUACAUCUCUCAACAGAAGACAUACAAAUGGCAAACAGGUGUAUGGAAAAGUGCUCAGCAUCUCUGAUCACGAAAGAAAUGCAAAUCAAACCUACAAUGAGAAAUCUUCUCACCCCAGUUAAAAUAACUUUUUUCCAAAAGACAGGCAAUAACGAUCCUGGUGAGGAUGUGGAGAAAGUAGAACCCUCAUACACUGUUGGUGAGGUUGUCAAUUAGUACAGCCAGUGUGGAGAACAGUAUGGAGAUUACUCAGAAAAACUAAAAAUAUAACUACCAUAUGAUCCAGUAUACCACUGCUAGGUAUACACCCAAAAGUAAAGAAAUCAGUAUAUGGAGCAGAUAUCUGCACUCCCCUUUUAUUGUAACACUGUUCACUAUAGCCAAGAUUUGGAAUCAGCCUAAGUGUCCAUCAGUACACGAAUGAAUAAAGAAAAUAUGGUACAUAUACACAAUGGAAUACUAUUCAGCCAUAAAAGGAAUGAAAUCCUGUUAUUUGCAACAUGGGUGGAACUGGAGGUCAUUUUGUUCAGUGAAAUAAGCCAGGCAUAGAAAGACUGACUUUGCACAUCUUCACUGAUUUAUGGAAGCUAAAAAUUAAAACAGUUGAUCUCAUGGAGAUAAGAGAAUAGAAGGAUGGUUACCAGAGGCUGAGAAGGGUAGUGGGGUAGUGAGAGGGAAAUGGAAUGCUUAAUGGCUACAAAAGCAUAGUUUGAUAGAAUGAAUAAGACCUAAUAUUUGAUAGCACAACAGGGUGACUACAGUCAACAGUAAUUUAUUCUACAUUUUAAAAUUUUAACUAAAAGUGUAUUAGGAAUGUUUGUAACAUAAAAAAGGAUAAAUGCUUGAGAUGAUGGAUACUGUAUUUACCCUGAUGUGAUUAUUACAUAUUGUAUCCUGUAUCAAAAUAUCUCAGGUACCCCAUAAACAUAUAUACCUACUAUAUACCCAUAAAAAUUUUAAAUUUAAAUUAAAAAAUUAUUUUAUCAUUGUCAACAAAUGGAAAUGUAUAGAAUUUUCCAUGAUGAUAUUUAGGAGAAAAAUCUUGGGUCAAGCUAUAAAGAUCUAUCUAAAAUAUAUUAAUAUAUUAACUUUAACAAAUAUUGAAUAUUAUGAAAGCAUACAUAGUAAUAUAUGUAUUAUCUAUAUUAUAUAGUGUAGUGUAUUACUAUGACCCCCAUAAGUCAGCAAGACCCCCAAAUGUUAGUUUAUAUAUGAUGACACAGAAUUACACUGUAUAUGAAAGCCUGGUUCGGUUUUGAAAAUCUUGACACAAAUUGGGUCUUUUGAAAUUUAGUUAUCUGCUUAAAUGUCUAUAGGUACUUGUUACACGAAGAUGUCCUAUUUUAAUAAAUAAAUACUGAAUGUUUUUACAUUAGUCACCUCUUCUGGAAGCUAUACUAGUUAUAAGUUGCAAUGAUAUGGACAUUGGAAAACUGAGCCAUCCUUUAUAGAAAUUAUAGUUGAAUCCUCAGUCAUCUAUUUGGUCUCCAAGAGAACCUUGAAGAAAUAUUGUUGACCUGUUUCCCACAUUUUGCCUGUUACAGAUUUGUGCCCACUUGGACCUUAAUUAUUCUUACAACCCAUCUCUUCCAUGUCUUUCUGUUAACAAGUGGUACAUUCACAUACGUUAUUGCUUUUUCUGAGAAUAUUUGCAUUUUAAUAAUUCUCUUUGAAUACUCACAAAGUAUUGAAGAUGUAAUGGUCUAAAUAGGUAAUGGGAGAAUUGUAUCGUGUUUUUACUUUAUAUAGUUUAAAUUUGGGGGGGCAGGAAAGGUGCAGGAGAGCAUUUCCAACAUAAUUUACAACACACCUUCUAAUUAAGUAUAUUUUAAUAACACCAGCCAUAACUCUGAAAUUGAAAUCACAACAUCUUCCUGUUGUGAGGUACUCUGCUUCACCCUCCCAGUUCAGUGCAGAAGUCCCAUCUAGAAAUUUCUUACAAAUAAUCACCUGUUACUCGAAUACUUUGCAGUGCUAGGAAUAUCACUAUUUCAUGAGAUAAACAGUAUUGUUUUUUAAUAAUUAAAAAUGUUAUCUUAAAAUCAAUGCAUUAGUUCUAUACUCUGCGGCUAACACAUGUUCUAUGUGCCAGCCAUUCAAAUCAGAAAGACAUUUAACAUACUUCUUAGAUUACCACCUCUCCCUGGUUUUUCCUCUUCCAGACCAGAUACUGCUAGUUUCUUAAAUCGAUUCUCAUGAUGCUUUCCAAACCUCUUACCACUGCAUCUCCCUUAUCAAAAUGCACCCAGCAUUGUUCACAUUCCUCCUACACUAACAGCAGAGUAUUCUAGAUAUGGUCUGGCAAGUAUGACGUACAGAGCCCCAUUACCUUCCUUUAUCUUGAUGCUGCUCUCUUAUUCACGGAGUUAAAGUUGUAUUGGCUUUCCUGGCAGCCAUCACAUUUUCCUUUCACAUUGUAUUUCCAUCCAAAUAAAAAUCUUGGGUUUUUCUUUUGUAUCCUAGUAUUAUGUCAUAUCUUCCUUUUUCUUUAUUUAUUCAGUUAAUAAUUUCAACCUAAAAUCCCAAAUUUAACAUUAAACAUGAAAAAGUACAAUAUUAACUUUGACCCUCUAACCUAUUAGAAAAGAUAAAAGAAUAUUACAGGACAAUUCUCUGUUAUUAAUCUGUUAGGAUUGUAGCAUCUCCCAUAAUCAGCCAAUGGAUCUCUUCUUUCAACUUUUUGUUGUUCCAAGCUUAGCUUUAAGACUCCUUUUUCUUCUCCCUUGCAUUUUUUGUCUCGUUUUGGCCUUUUAUCUUUCUGACUUUAUUCUUGUGCUUUUAACCUACAGUGUAGUUCAAUAUUAUAGAAUGAAUUCAGAUAUAGAAAGUAUUAAAAAUUAGGAUUUAAAUGGUAUAUUUUCUGUCUUUAGCAAAAUAUUCUAUGCCAUUGGUAUUUCCAACUACUGAGCAAGUGAAUUGAAUACAGAUUUUUACUGUGAAGAGUCUACAGUGGCAAGAUUGCAUGUGUUAAUCAAGUAAUAAAAUUCAUCAAAUUUUUAAUUCCCUGGGAAGCAGGAUUUGGUGCCAGAACAAAUUUAACUUUUCUAAAGAAGCCACUUAAACUUCCUCUGUCACUAGGAAAUAUAACCCUGCUAUAGGUAACAUGUCUGAAUUUUUUGAGCAUACAUACAGUUAGCCUCUAGGAGUUCAAAUGAAGAGUGGCAUGUCUCUCACUUUAAAUCAAAAACUAGAAAUGAUUAAGCUUAGUGAGAAGGCAUGUUCAAAGUUGAGAUAGGACAAAGGCUAGGUCCCUUAUGCCAAAGAGUUAGCCAAGUUUAAGGAUGCUCUUAACUAUCUCUUCAAAAUAAGAGGAUACUUUUGGAAAACUGAGAGGCAAGACUGAUUUGUAUCAAUAAAGCUUUGAAUGUAGCCUUCAUGGUGACUACCAGAGGACAUCUUACUGUUUCUGCAACAGAAUCUACAGCCAUAUUCUAGGAAAAAAUCAAGAUGGUGACUACCAGAGGACAUCUUACUGUUUCUGCAACAGAAUCUACAGCCAUAUUCUAGGAAAAAAUCAAGAUGGUGACUACCAGAGGACAUCUUACUGUUUCUGCAACAGAAUCUACAGCCAUAUUCUAGGAAAAAAUCAAGAUGGUGACUACCAGAGGACAUCUUACUGUUUCUGCAAUAGAAUCUACAGCCAUAUUCUAGGAAAAAAUCAAGAAACAAAACGACAACAAAAACCUUUUGCCUGUAUAGUCUCACAUUUGUCUUUUUAGCUGCUAAUCUUCAGUGUAAUAAUCACCAAUAUUCUUUAAUACAAUAGAUAGAAAUGUGGGUAAUGCUGAGACCUAAAUGUACUUAAUAAAUAGGCAGGUUUCAUAUUUCAUGCUUAGAAAGAUAAAAUACAUUUUCCUGAUGUAUUAUAUUCACUUAAGUUUUCACAUUGUUUAGCCGUAAAGAAAGAAACAUAAUGCCUUUUAUAUCAUCAGAAUCAUUAUUAUAUUUAUUUAGUGGCAUUUCUUCACCUAGAACAUUAUCAAGUUGGCAUUAAAUCAGAAAGAAAACUCUGUUCCCAAGGCCAGAGUGCUCUUUCUAAUCCAUUUGAAUAAUACAAAUGAUUAUACCACAUUUUAAAUGAUGUGGGGAGAAUGUGAGUAUUAGGGCCCCUCUUUUGUGGGCCUUCUAUUUGCUAAUCAUUUUUAUAAAGUAUUCAGUUUAAUAUAGUAUAGUGAUAAUGACAAAGUUUGAAACAUUGCGAUAAUUACCAAAAUGUGCUGCGGAGACAUGCAAUGAGCAUAUGCUGUUGGAAAAAUGGCACCGACAGAGUUGCCCAGCCAGGGUUUCCACAAACUUUCAAUUUGAAAAGAACACAGUAUCUGCAAAGCACAAUAAAGUGAAGUGCACAAAGCAACUUAUGACUGUAUUUUGGACCACACUAUAAGGCAUGUUGUAGAGACUGAGGCCUUUAAUUAACUGAAGCCUUUCCUCCAGCCCAUGGCAGGUAAAGGUUACGCAGUGUUUUCCACAGCCCGUAUUCUUUCUGUUACACCCUGGUGCCUCUUUCUGUUCCUGGAGUAUGUACAUGUGGUUGGGGGUGGUAGCAGUGGUGGUAUUAUUGAUGAUUUAUUUCUGUAAUGUUCAAAAUAAUUUUGAAAAUACUUCUGGGAAUAUAAGUAGAAUGAGAAAAUUACAUACAGACUCAUGGCCCAGGCAGGUUUCUUUCUAAUCAACUGACUUUUCUCACUGCCCUGCCAUAACCCCUGACAAAUUCUUCCCCAGAAAUUCUUCUUGGUGAUCUUUUUUGCCAUCUUCCACAAGAAGAAAAAUAAUUUUAAAGCAAAACAUACAUACGAAGGUCAAUUAUUGUGAUUUUUUUUUCUGUAUUCUAGAGUAGAAUAUGAAUGUGUCAUGGUUCUAUUUUCAGAGUUAAACUGAUGUAUUACAUCAGUUUAAGUUAAUACAUGAUAUACAAUAUAAAUUUUAACCCCCCCCCAGCUUAUUUAUAAAGUAUUUGUGUUGGUAUAUACAGAUAAAUAUCAUUCUGAGACCAUAAACAACACAAGAAUCAAACGUUUAAAUUAUUUAUCGGCAUACUAUUGAGUUGGGAGUGGAAAUGAUGGUGUAGUAACAGCCCCCUUUCCAAAUGGCAUUUCAAACUGUUACAACGUUGAGAUGUUAAGAGGAGUGUUCAUGAAGUAUGGCUUGUGAAGAAUAUGUGAAUCUAGGACAAAAUCUUUAAACCCAAGGAGGCAGAGGUAUAAAUAGUUGAAUUUGACCUGAGAUUGUUGAAAUAUUUUCAUUAAACCACUGCAAGAUACACUUUUUAAAAUGUAAAUUCAUACUCUGACAUUUGCAACCUGUACACAGAGUUUCUAAUAAGCAAAUAAGGUCACUUGGGUGAUUUACUGCAGUGUGAUUGCUGAAGGCAGAGAUGUUGCUGUGAGUUGCUUGGUUUACAGAAGGCUUUGAAGUGUGAUGAUGUAACACUCUGUGUUUAUUAGAAUCUGUGCUUUAUGCAACAAAUAAAAACAAAGGACUUAAUUUAGGAUUAGCUAACUACCACAUUCUAUCCAGAUUAUAUACGUAAAGGAUAAUUUCUGGUCUGACUAAAUAGAGCAUCUCAACUUUCUAGUUUUCCAGGUUUUGGAUACUUUGGUAAAAAAGCAAAUUCAGGGUUUUCUCCAGAAGUUCUACACACUGACUUUCACCAGAUACAGGCAUGUUUCUUUUUCCUUUAUGUUAUGCUGCAAUUUAUUGAUGAUGAGCUUUAUGAGAGCUGAAACAGAUGAUCCUACUAACAAUUUUAUAUUUAAUAUAGGUCCUCCUUUUUUAAAAUAGCUUCAUAGUGGAUGUAUGCUCAUUGCUUAGGUUCACUGUCUUUAGUUUUGAAAUGACUAAUACUUUUAAACAUAGAGGUCCUUUUGAUCAUUUUUUCGUUGCUAAACACUGUCUAACAACCCCUGUGAUUUAAUGAUAAUGACAGACCAGUACCCUCCCCUCCCUUUGUCAUAAAAAGCCUAUGAUUUAGCUUCAUUUCUCUACCCAGGAAUUAGGGAUGAAUCACCAAGUAAGAAAAAUAUUUUGCAUGAUUAAAAUAUUACAACUGCUAUAACACUUUUAGAUUGCCUUAAUAUAUAUUCAUAAGAUUAUAGGCAGUAAUGAAUAGUGAGUAAGCCCUUACUGCACACAAAUGUAUUUAGUUUUGGGGUUUUUUUCUUGAAGGGGGACCAGGGUCCUGUUGUUUUGAAUAGCCAUCACAGUGCUGUCAGAUAUUUAACAGCAGUUCGGUUUUUUUUUUGUUUCAUAGCUCAGUUGUGCAAUGAUGACCUACCUCUUCACUUCGGAAAGUCAUCUAACAAUAGCCCAGUCAAAAUUUCUAUCUUCUAUUUCUUGCCCUUCUGGAGGAAAAAUAAAUCAGAAAUAUUAUAACCUUUAAAGAAGAUAGUGCAUAAUCACCUAGUAAUAGUAUCCUUCACUGGGGUUGGGCAGGAGGAACAUUUUGCCCAAGGUGAUCAUUUUCAUCAGUUUUUAAAAAGGAGACACUAUUAUGUGUUUGUAAACUUCAAGAUGAAUGAUAAGACAGAGUAUUACCCAUAUAUCAACAAUGAUAUGUUUACUUAGAAUACACUAGGUACCUGUAAACAGAGAGCUAAAUCUCUGACAGGAGUAUGGAUAGAGGGUUGAUGAACUGUUAGACUGACUGACAGAUGGAAGGAUGGAUGGAUAAAUGGAGUAUUUAGCUAUCUAGUGGUGAAAUAAGUCCUGAAGGUUUAAAAUUAUGUAAUUAAAAGACAAAUAGUACUAAAAUGAUUUGCUUCUCCCUUAAAACAGUAAUUUAAUUAAAGGGUAUAAAAAUUGGUAAGCUAUUAUCAAUAAAAUACAUCAUAAUUUUGUAGAAUUCACAAUUAAUAUAUUAUUAUACUAUGAUGUGCUUGCUGAGCAGAUCUUCAUAAUAAGAUCUACCAUCUCUUAUAAACUUAAUAUAUGUCCUGCACUCUGAAAGUACUUUAUACUCAUUACCACAUUAGCUAACCAUUUCUUUUCCUAGACUGCAAAUAUGGAAGAAGGCAAUCUACAGGCAUACCUUGGAGAUAGUGCAGAUUGGGUUCCAGACCACUGCGAUAAAGCAAAUAUUGCAAUAUAGCAAGUCACACAAAUUUUUUGGUUCACAACACAUAUAAAAGUUAUGUUUAUACUAUACUGUGGUCUAAUAAGUGUGCAAUAGCAUUAUGUCUAAAAAACAAUGUACAUGCCAUAAUUUAAAAAUACUGUGUUGCUAAAAGAUGCUGAUGGUCAUCUGAGCCUUCUGUAAGUCAUAAUCUUUUUGCUCAUGGAGGCUCUUGCCUUGAAGUUAAUGGCUCCUGACUGAUCAGGGUGGAGUUUCUAAAGGUUGUGGUGGCUAAGACAACAAUGAAGUUUACUACAUGGAUUGACUCUUCCUUUUAUGAAAGAUUUCUCUGUAACAUGUGAUGCUGUUUGGUAACAUUUUACCCACAGUAGAACUCUUUCAAAAUUAGAGCGAAUCCUCUCAAACCCCACCACUUAGUUGAUAAAGAUUACCUAGGUUUAUAUUAUAUUCUAAAUCAUUUGUUGCCAUCUCUAGCAUCUUCACCAGUAAUAGAUUCCAUCUCAAGAAACUAUAUUCUUUGCUCAUCUGUGAGAAACAAUUCCUCAUCCAUUAAAGUUUUAUCAUGAGACUGCAGCAAUUCAGUCACGUCUUUAGGUUUCACUUCUAAUUCUAGUUAUCUUGCUAUUUCCACUGCAUCUGCAGUUAGUUCUUCCACUGAAGUCUUGAGUUCCUCAAAGUCAUCUAUGAGAGUUGGAAUUAACUUCUUCCAAACUCCUAUUGUGUUGAUAUUUUAACCUCCUCCCAUGAAUCACAAAUGUUCUUAAUAUGAUGAAUCCUUUCCAGAAGAUUUUCAAUUUACUUUGCUGAGAUUCAUUAGAGGAAUCACUGCUUAUGACAGCUAUAGUCUUACAAAAAUAUAUUUCUUAAAUAAUAAGAGUUGAAAGUUGAAAUUACUUCUCAAUCCAUGGGGUGCAGAGUGCAUGUUGUAUUAGAUGGCUUGAAAACAACGUUAAUUUCCUUGUACAUCUCAGUCAGAGCUCUUGGGUGACCAGAUGCUUUCAUCAAUGAGGUAAUAUUUGAAAGGAAUCUUUUUUCUGAGCAAUAGGUCUCAAGCUUGGGCUUACAGGCUCAGUAAACCGUGCUGUAAACAGACGUGCUGUCAUCCAGGCUUUGUGGUUACAUUUAUAGAGCACAAGCAGAGUAGACUUUAGCAUAAUUCAUAAGGGCAUAGGUUUUUGGAAACGGUAAAUGAACAUUGGCUUCAACUCAAAGUCAUCAGCUGCAUUAGCCCGUAAGGAGAGAGUCAUCCUGUUCUUUGGAGCUUUGAAACCAGGCACUGUCUUCCCAGUAGUUAUGAAAGUCCCAGAUGGCAUCUUUCAAUGGAAGCCUGCUUCGUCUACAUUGAAAAUCUGUUGUUUAGUAUAGUCACCGUUAUCAAUAUCCUAGCUAGAUCUUCUGGAAAACUUGCUACAGCUUCUACAUCAGCAUUUGCCACUUCACCUUAAACUUUUAUGUUAUGAAGAUGUCUUUAUUUCUUAAACCUUAAGAAUCAGUCUCUCCUAGCUUUAAACUUUUCUUCUGCAGCUUCCUCACCUCUCCCAGCCUUCAUAGAAUUGAAGAGAGCUAGGGCCUUGCUGGAUUAGGCUUUGACUUAUGGGAAUGUUGUGGCUAGUUUGAUCUUAGAUCCAGACCACCAAAAACUUCUUCCUAUCAGCAGUAGGCUGGUGUUCACUUUCUUAUCACUCAUGCGUUCACCAGAGCAGCACUUCUUAUUUCUUUGAAGAACUUUUCCUUUGCGUUCACAACUUGGCUAACUCUUUGGCAUAAGGGACCUAGCCUUUGUCCUGUCUCAACUUUGAACAUGCCUUUCUCACUAAGCUUAAUCAUUUCUAGUUUUUGAUUUAAAGUGAGAGACAUGCCACUCUUCUUUUCAUUUGAACUCCUAGAGGCUAUUGUAGGGUUAUUAAUUGGGCUAAAUUCAAUAUGGUCUUAGACAAUAGGGAGGCCCAAGAAAAGGGGAAGAGACAAGGGAACAGCCAGUAGUUUGGAGGAGUCAACACACACAUUUAUUAAGUUUGUGGUUUCAUAUGUGCAUGAUUUGUGGUGCCCCAAAACAAUUACAAUAGUAACAAAGAUCACUGGUCACAGAUCAUCAUCAUAGACAUAAUGACAAUGUAAAAAUAAUGUAAUUAUGAAUAGACAAUCAUAUAUUAAUAUAUAUUAAUAAUGAAAAAGUUUGAAAUAAUGCAAGAACUACCAAAAUCUGACACAGAGACACAAAGUGAACACAUGCUAUUGGAAAAUGGCGCAAAUACACUUGCUGGAUGCAGGGUUGCCACAAAUCUUCAAUUUGUAAAAAUGUGUAUUUGUAAAGUGCAAUAAAGUGCAAUAAAACGAGCUAUGCUGGUGCAGUAGUAUCAUUGGCCUGAAAGAUUUCACAUUGAGCCUUUCCUUUUAAAGUUAGGCUUUACUUAAUUUACCCAAAAUAUAUGUUUUUUUCUAUUUAAAAAAUGAAUUAUAUUAGUCAUCUUUAUACCUGAUACCAGUAUGUUUUAAAUAGAGCAUUCUAUGUCUAAACUAAAUUUCUAACAUGGAUGUUAUAUUACUUUUCCUUCUGGCCAGUAGAAAUUACCUUUUUCACUGAGUAUCUCCUGCCUGCCUAAGUGAGAUAUUAUUCGUGUUUCUGACAUUUUCUGUUAAGCUCUUCUUAAUCAGAAUCUCACAGGAUCAAACUGAGUGGUCAGUGUUCUAUUUACAUAAAAGUAUUACCUGAGUAUCCCAGAUGAUUUCUUAAAAUUAAGACGUGAUAUAAUUACUGGCUCGCUAAAAUUACCUAAGGGCUCCUAAGCAUUUUUGAAAGCUACAACCAAAAGAAGUUUCUGUUUCUCAGAGAAAGUUGGAAAUAUUAGAGCCAUAAACAGUGUGUUCUUGGAAGCAGUGGAUUCAGUUGUAAUCAUGCGUAAGAACCAUCUCUAAUUCUAUUAAUGUAGUUUCUGCUGGCCUAAUGAUGGGAAAAUGCCUAAUUCCUAUAAAUAAGCAUUAAUUUGCAAAAUUAAUUAUGGUUAUUUUUUGUAGUUAUGUGGUAUCAGCUGUUGAAUAAAGAAAGUGUUUAGAUAAUAUCAAAUAAAAUUAUUUAAUUAACAUAUAACUGAAUGAAAUGAUUACACUCAAUACCUUUUAUUGUCACACAAUGAUCAUUUUAUUUCAAGAACAUAAUUAAAAUGAAAAAUUAUUAUGUUUGUAUGUAAAAUUAUAAACAUUACUGUUUUUUUUUUCUCAUGUGUUCUUUAUUAUUUAGAGAGAGAGCCAAUUUUCACUUUGCCGGCCUCCCUAUUAACAUCUGUCCUUUUUGCCAGCUAAAGAAAACAAAGGAAAAAUAAUUUUCUCUGGUAGUAGCAUUAUUUUCUAAUUCUGAAACAUUAUUUUCUUCAGUUUGUUCUCUUCUUCUAACAUUUUUAUUUCCCAUUGGCUCAUGUAACACAGGUCUCCAGAAGUAAUAGGUGUUUCUUGUUCUUAUAUUUGUAAACAAACAAAUUUGCUCUCGUUGCAAGGAUAGUGGUUAGCUUGAGCUCUAGAAUAUGACUAUCUGAGGUUCAAGUUCCAUCUCUGCCACUUAGUUUUGUUUUGAAAAUAACCUUUUUGUUUCUUGGUUAUUCAUCUGUAGAACACCUAUUCAUAGAAUUGUUGUCAGAAUUAAAUUAGUUCAUGAUUAGUUAACGUGCAUGCAAGGCUUAACACCAGUGUUGCCCACGUUUGAGCUUAGCAAGUAGUAAGGGUAAUGGACAUCCUUACUGUCAUCAUCUUCUAAAAAUGCAUUAGAAAUUUUAACAAUAAAAAGGAAUUUUUAUAAAAAGGAAAGACAAGUAGGUACUAAUCCUGUCUGUUGUCUUUUUUCUAUUGUCCUACUUUUUGUUUUGUUUUUGAUUUUUGUUUUUUCGCAUGUACUAGUUCCCAUUUCACCACGACACAGUGAUUCCUUUCAGUCCUUUCACAGUGCUGGAAUUGAAACUCUUCUGCUCCCUAUUCAAUCCCUUCCUCACUCUUGUACUAUUUGCCCACCUUUCUUUCUUAUUUCCCUUUCUCUGUAUCCUGCAGCACUGUCUUGAUUUCUUUUUCUUUCCACCUGUUCUUCAUGUUAUCUUUUUUAAGAUCUAAAUCCAUUUAUUCAUUUUUCUUGCACUUUUCCCUGAAAAAUUCACCCACCCUUCAGCUAUCAGCUCUAUGAAGAUGUUCCCUAAUGAGUCUCCCCACCUUGACCUGUGUCCUAUUCACCAAGCAGUGGGCAAUUUUGUGAUGUUUAAUGACUGUUAGGCAAAACUGGGCAGCAUGGAAUUAUAAAUUUUUGAAACUGAAAAACUCUAGUAUAACCUAGCUCAGCCCAUUCAAAUGAAACAAAAUUACUUAAGAUAUAUAUAAGCUUAUUUUUUUUUCAAUUUUUAUGAGAAUUUAAUUAGAUUAGUCAUAUGAAUCAUGUGUCUGAAAUACAAGCUUAUUUUAAGAGAUCAAAAUUAGUACCAAAAGUUAAAUUUGCAUGGCAAUUUAUAAUAUGUGAAUGCUUUUAUUUACAUUAACCCAUCUUAUCCUCACAUCAUCUCCAGUGAUACUGGUUAGGCAAGCAUUUUUUGUCCUCAAUCUACAUGUGAGAAUCAGAAAGAUUUAUAGUUUUCACAAGGUCAUAUUUCUAGUAAUUGAAUAAAUGUGAUUUAAAUCUAGUUUCUCUAAAUUCAGUACAGUUUUACAUUUGGUCACCAGAUAAUUCAUCUUUUUGUUGCCCUCUAGAAAUGCCAUUGAAGUACAUGAAGUGUGUCUCACUAAUUUUAGUUUUUUUCUCUGUUUAUAUUUGUAGAGGUUAAUGAUGCCUUUGACUAAAUGUUUUUCUGCAGGGUAAUACUAUCCUGGUGUCUGACACUCAAAAGCACAGAUGAAUGUCAGUGGAAAAUUUUUUUCUAACUGUAUGUGUAUAUAUAUAUCUUUUUAAGUUCUACUUUUAUUUAGAUUUAUAGCAUACAUGUACAGGUUUGUUACAUGAGGUUCUUUUGUUUGUUUGCUUUUGUUUUUGUUUGUGUGUUGCGAAGUUUUGGGUUGUGAAUGAUCCUAUCAGCCAGGUAGUGAGCAUAGCACCAGUAGGUAGUUUUUCAGACACGGCCUCCGUCCCACUCUCCCGGCUCUAGUAAUCCCCAGUAUCUAUCGUUUCCAUCUUUAUAUCCAUGUGUACCCAGUGUUUAGCUCUCACUUAUAAGUAAGAACAUGCAGUAUUUGGUUUUCUGUUCCUGUGUUAAUUCACUUAAGAUAAUGACCUCUAGCUACAUCCAUGUUGCUGCAAAGGAUAUGGUUUCAUCUUUUCAAUGGCUAUGCAGCAUUCUAUGGUGUACAUAUACCACAUUUUCUUUAUCCAAUCCACCAUUCAUGGGCACCUACGUUGAUUCCCUGCCUUUCCUAUUGUAGAUCGUAUUGUGAUAAACAUACAAGUGCAUAUGUCUUUUUUUUUUUUUCUUGUAGGACAAUUUAUUUUCCUUUGGAUAUAUAGCCAGUAGUGAGAUUGCUGGGUUGAAUGGUAGUUCUGUUUUAAGUUAUUUGAGACAUUUACAAGCUGCUUUACACAGGGGCUGAACUAAUUUACUUCCCACCAACAGUAUGUAAGUGUUCCCUUUUCUCUGCAGCCUUGUCAGCAUCUGUUGUUUUUUGACUUUUUAAUUAUAGCCAUUGUGCCUGGUGUAAAACGGUAUCUCAUUGUGGUUUUGACUUGCAUUUCUCUAAUAAUUAGUGAUGUUGAGCAUUUUUUUCAUGUGUUUGGGGAACACUUGUAUGUCUUCUUGUAAGAAGUGUCUGGUCAUGUCUUUUGCCCAUUUUUUAAUGGGGUUAUUUGGUUUUUGCUUGUUGAGUGUUUAAGUUCCUUAUGAAUUCCAUAAGACUCUGGAUAUUAAACAUUUGUCAGAUUCAUAACUUGCAAAUAUUUUCUCCCAUUCUGUAUGUUGUCUGUUUACCCGGUUGAUAGUUUCUUUUGCUGUUCAGAAGCUCUUUAGUUUAAGUCCCACUUGUCAAUUUUUGUUUUUGUUUCAGUUGCUUUUGAUGAGUUAGCCAUAAAUUGUUUGCAAAGACUGAUGUCAAGAAAGGUAUUUCCUAGGUUUUCUUCUAGGGUUUUUAUAGUUUGAGUUCUUACAUUUAAAUCUUUUAUCCAUCUUGAGUUAAUUUUUGUAUAUGGUGAAAGGUCGAGAUCUACUAUCAUUCUUCUUCAUAUGACUAGUCAGUUACCCAGCACCAUUUAUUAAAGAGAGUCCUUUCCCCAUUGUUUAUUUUUGUUUUUAAAGCAUAACUGAUAAAUAAAAAGUAUCUAUAUUUAAAGUACAGUGUGAUGUUUCGAUAUACAUAUACCUUGUGGGAUGGUUACUACAAUCAAGCUAAUUAACAUAUUUUUUAUUUCCAUAGGUUUUUGGGGAACAGGUGGUGUUUGGUUACAUGAGUAAGUUCUUUAGUGCUGAUUGAGAUUUCGGUGCACCCAUCACCCAAACAGUAUAAAAUGUACCCAAUUUUUUAAAUGCAUAUGGGGAAAUGUUUACUUUGAAUCUUUCUCCUCACAAUAAUUAAUCUGAUGUAGUUAUGGGCUAUGUGCCCAGAAGUGCUCAGGAAAGACUGAAGUGAUGAUGCAGAUAUGCACACCUGCAAGCUUUGCUUUACAAUUUUUCAUGGGACACUAGUUUAGCCCCUGUUCUUCGGCUUGCUACAGCACUGAGUGAGACCUGUACUGUGAUUUUCUAUCUAGUCUUAAAAGAGAAAGAGGACUAUACAUUAACUAUAUGACUCCAAAUAAAUUAAGACUUCAAAUAAAGAAAAAUGAUGUUUCUACCACCACAGCUAAAAUAAUCAGAUUUCCAAAUUUUAAAUAUAUUAAAGUUUAUACACUUUGCAGGCUUUAUCUGGAAGAUGGUGGUAGAGUGGUAGAAACUGUUAUACCUAACAGCAUAUUCCGGCUCUGCCAAAAUAUUAGAUAUAUUAUUUUGACAAACCCCUUUGAUGUUCUGUGCUUAAGUUCAGUCGUUUUUAUAGAGAAAGCUAACCAGUAAAGUAGAUACGGAAAGUCUUUGAGUUUGUGCCGACUUGAAUAAACUUGGAAUCAUGUAUCCAUGUCAACUAAGAAUUAUAUAAAAUGUUUAUCUUCAAGGCUCAUACCAAUCAAAAUAGUUAACUUGAGAAUUAAUUGCUUCAAACUAACAUGCCUUUAUUAUAAAUUAUCCAAAAUGAAGGAUUUUUUUCUGUUAUAAAUAUUCUAUUAUAAAUUUAUAAAGAAUAUGAAAUCUUUUAAAAUGUCUAAGUUAAACUUUAUAGGUAAUGAAAUGGAAUUGUGAUAGAAGUUAUAUUUAUACAGAUCUUACAUGUUAACUCUAUGAAACAAAGGGAAAAAUUCAAGUUUGGUCUUUGAUGACCAAAGUAGUAUGAAAUUAUUUCUUAAAGUUUAGCAAAAACAUGCAUAGAUUAAAAAUUAAAACCCAAGGAGGAGACUGCAAAGGAAAAUAAUGAAAAGAUACACUCACUCACUCAAAUGCCAGGUUCUAAUCUAGGUCCUAUAUGGCAGAGAAAAAAAAGAAAUUUCUUAUAUAGAUUGUAUUUUAAUAAUGAGAGACAAAAAUUAAACUGAUAAGAACAGAUACUACACUUGAUCUUAGCCAGAAGGCUGAGAAGCACAAAUAUAAUGAUUAAAUGUAUAAUAUGUUAAAAGCUGAUAAUACUACGGUGAAAAAUCAAAGCAGGUGCAGGAGCGUGUGUGGAGGUAUUUAAUUUUCAGGUAGGAUUGUCACCAAAAGCUCUCUCAGUAUUUCUCAUAAACUUGAGAAGUACCUUAGUUAAAAAAAAAAAGACAAACCCUAAAAUUUAAAAAAAGACUCUAGUCCUCAAAGAGUUCUAUGUACUGUGUGAUUAAACUUUAAUGUAAAAAUUUUUAAAUAGCAAAUUCUAGUGAGAACAAAGACACAGAGAAAGAGGAAUAGAAAUAAAGAUCAUAAAGGAAGAAGAGGCCAAGUCAAGUAUAAAAAGUAAAAUAAAGAAUUAAUAGACCCACUUUUAUAUUUUUCAUCCCUUGAGACAGCAAUUUAAGUGAGCCAGGGUCUAUAGUAGUAAUAGCCACAGCUGCUAAUAAUUUGAGCACUUUUCCCAGUGCUACAUAGAGUGUUAAGCACUCAAUAAUAGAUUGCUUCAGAUAAUCUCUACACCCACCCUCUGAUGUGUUACCUCCAUUUACAAAUGAGAGACUGAGCCUCCAGGAAGUAAGUAACUUUCUCAGAGACACACGAUUAGCAAUUGGUAGGACUGGAAUUAGAAUGCAGUUGUUAGACCCUAAAGCCCAUGGAGGUACUCACCAUAUUUUAGUGUUUUAGAAUGCUAUUUCCUAUCCCUGUCUUUCUGCCUGAAAUGGCUCGGAUAAUGCUCUCUUACUGCUUAUGAUUGUCUUUAUUUUUCAGAGACGUCCCCGUUUCCAAUUAUGUUUUUAUUUAGAUAUAUUGCACUUGACUCCAUUGAAGGCUGUUCCCAGAUUCUAAAUAACUGCCAUCGCUUCAUCAGAUAAUUGAAUUUACAAGUUCUUUGGAGAAUCCUAAAGGCACAGACAGAGAGCAACAGUUUUAGGGAGAGCACAUAUUUUACAGUGUCUCAUUCAACUCCUCAACUGUUGUGAAUUCCUUAAGAGCUGUACAUUCAAAAUUGUGCUAGAUUCAGAUGCAGCAGAAUAUGGAGGGCAUCAGAGACUGGACCACAGCACUGACUUUUUUUCUGAGGCUUUUGAACAUAAUGGGC